CCCUUAGAUGUUCUGGGCUGCACGCGCGCUACACUGAUGCGCUCAACAAGUUUAUGACCUUGCCCGGAAGGGUUGGGUAAUCUUCUUAGCACGCAUCGUGAUGGGGAUAGAUUAUUGCAAUUAUUAAUCUUCAACGAGGAAUUCCUAGUAAGCGCGAGUCAUCAGCUCGUGCUGAUUACGUCCCUGCCCUUUGUACACACCGCCCGUCGCUACUGCCAACUGAGAUGGGUCCUGAAUUGUUAGGAACGCCCGUCAAGGGGCCUACCCGGCCCCUAGUGCGGUGACGAGAAUAACUGUAAAUGGCAUAUCUUGUAGGGAGUAAAAGUCGUAACA
rnacentral:rRNA from 1 species